rnacentral:rRNA from 1 species
CCGGCGACCGGCGCACGGGUGAGUAACACGUGUGCAACCUGGCCGUGACAGAUGGAUAACCGGGAGAAAUCCCGCCUAAUACAACAUAAUGCCGGGAGGGGACAUCCCCUGCCGGUCAAAGGGGGCGACCCCGGUCAUGGAUGGGCAUGCGGCGCAUUAGGUAGUUGGUGGGGCAACGGCCCACCAAGCCGACGAUGCGUAGGGGUUCUGAGAGGAAGGUCCCCCACAUUGGAACUGAGACACGGUCCAAACUCCUACGGAAGGCAGCAG